CGCGAGCCGAGGGAGGCGGUUCCCUCUUAUGCUUUUCAUCUCCAUCCCCAUCCCCACCCACUACCAGGGGGCUUGGGUUCUGAGCUGAUGGGGUACCUCCCUCUGCAGAGCGGGAUGAGUGGGUGUUCCGGCAGGGAUGUGGUCAUUGACGGCCAGUGAAGGUGAGAGUACCACGGCCCACUUCUUCCUUGGAGCUGGAGAUGAGGGGCUGGGCACCCGUGGAAUAGGCAUGAGGCCAGAAGAGAGUGACAGCGAGCUCCUUGAGGAUGAGGAGGAUGAAGUGCCUCCUGAACCUCAGAUCAUUGUUGGCAUCUGUGCCAUGACCAAGAAAUCCAAGUCCAAGCCAAUGACUCAAAUCCUAGAGCGACUCUGCAGAUUUGACUACCUGACUGUUAUCAUUCUGGGAGAAGAUGUAAUCCUUAAUGAACCCGUGGAAAACUGGCCAUCCUGCCACUGCCUCAUCUCUUUCCACUCCAAAGGCUUUCCUCUGGACAAAGCUGUGGCUUACUCCAAGCUUCGAAACCCCUUUCUUAUCAAUGAUCUGGCCAUGCAGUAUUACAUCCAAGAUAGGAGGGAGGUGUACCGGAUCCUGCAGGAAGAGGGUAUUGAUCUGCCUCGAUAUGCUGUGCUCAACCGUGAUCCUGCCCGGCCUGAGGAAUGCAACCUGAUAGAAGGUGAAGACCAAGUAGAGGUCAAUGGAGCUGUCUUUCCCAAGCCCUUUGUGGAAAAGCCAGUGAGUGCAGAAGACCACAAUGUUUACAUCUACUACCCCAGCUCAGCUGGAGGAGGAAGCCAGCGUCUCUUUCGUAAGAUUGGCAGCCGAAGCAGUGUUUACUCUCCUGAGAGCAGUGUCCGAAAGACGGGGUCGUACAUCUAUGAGGAGUUUAUGCCAACAGAUGGCACAGAUGUCAAGGUGUAUACAGUGGGGCCAGAUUAUGCCCAUGCUGAAGCUAGAAAAUCUCCAGCUUUGGAUGGGAAGGUUGAACGAGACAGUGAGGGGAAAGAGAUUCGAUAUCCAGUCAUGCUGACUGCCAUGGAAAAGCUGGUGGCCAGGAAAGUCUGCGUAGCUUUCAAGCAAACAGUUUGUGGAUUUGACCUUCUUCGUGCCAAUGGUCAUUCCUUUGUGUGUGAUGUCAAUGGCUUUAGUUUUGUCAAGAACUCGAUGAAAUACUACGAUGACUGUGCCAAGAUUCUGGGGAACACCAUAAUGCGGGAGCUUGCCCCACAGUUCCAGAUUCCAUGGUCCAUCCCCACGGAGGCUGAGGACAUUCCCAUUGUUCCCACCACAUCUGGCACUAUGAUGGAACUUCGUUGUGUCAUUGCAAUUAUUCGUCAUGGGGAUCGUACUCCCAAGCAGAAGAUGAAGAUGGAAGUGAAACACCCAAGGUUUUUUGCUCUGUUUGAAAAACAUGGUGGCUACAAGACAGGGAAAUUAAAACUCAAGCGACCUGAGCAGCUCCAGGAGGUGCUGGAUAUCACAAGGCUGUUGUUGGCUGAACUGGAGAAAGAACCAGGUGGUGAGAUCGAGGAGAAGACUGGAAAACUAGAGCAGCUGAAGUCUGUAUUGGAGAUGUAUGGUCACUUCUCAGGUAUAAACCGGAAGGUACAAUUGACUUACUACCCUCAUGGAGUAAAAGCUUCUAAUGAGGGGCAAGAUCCACAGAGGGAAACUCUGGCCCCAUCUCUGUUGCUGGUACUGAAGUGGGGUGGAGAACUGACUCCUGCUGGCCGUGUUCAGGCUGAGGAGCUGGGGCGAGCUUUUCGCUGCAUGUACCCUGGAGGACAGGGUGACUAUGCUGGCUUCCCUGGUUGUGGGCUGCUUCGUCUCCAUAGCACUUUCCGCCACGAUCUCAAGAUCUAUGCCUCUGAUGAGGGUCGUGUUCAGAUGACUGCUGCUGCCUUCGCCAAGGGCCUUCUGGCUCUAGAAGGGGAGCUGACACCCAUUUUGGUGCAAAUGGUGAAGAGUGCCAACAUGAAUGGGCUACUGGACAGCGAUGGGGAUUCCUUGAGCAGCUGCCAGCACCGGGUGAAGGCUCGGCUGCACCAUAUUCUACAGCAGGAUGCGCCCUUUGGCCCUGAGGACUACGAUGAGCUGGCUCCCACCAGAAGUACUUCCCUGCUCAACUCCAUGACUGUCAUCCAGAAUCCUGUGAAGGUCUGUGAUCAGGUAUUUGCCCUGAUCGAAAACCUCACCCACCAGAUCCGGGAACGAAUGCAGGACCCCAGGUCUGUAGACCUGCAGCUCUACCACAGUGAGACACUAGAGCUAAUGCUACAGCGUUGGAGCAAGCUGGAGCGUGACUUUCGACAGAAGAGUGGGCGCUAUGAUAUCAGUAAGAUCCCUGACAUCUAUGACUGUGUCAAGUAUGAUGUGCAGCACAAUGGGAGUCUGGGACUUCAAGGCACAGCAGAGUUGCUCCGUCUCUCUAAGGCACUGGCUGAUGUGGUCAUUCCCCAGGAGUACGGGAUCAGUCGGGAGGAGAAACUGGAAAUUGCUGUGGGCUUCUGUCUUCCACUGUUGCGGAAGAUACUACUUGACCUGCAGAGAACCCACGAGGAUGAGUCUGUCAACAAGCUGCAUCCCCUGUGAGGGAGGGCUGGGAGGGGUGUUGGAUGGAGGGAGGGGCAUGUCAGGGAGCCUUGGGGGAAUCAAAGCUGGGACAGCCUGGGGAACCAAGAAUAAACAAGAUUUUGGGAUGGAAAGGAGAGAAGUCUUUGAGGUGGGAGGAGGGAGUUUGCAGAAGGGUGGGAACAGGGUUAACUGAUUGUGUGAGUGAUUUAGCUGUUAUCUCAGGUACUCCGAGGCGUGCUCUCCCCAGGUCGCCACGU
rnacentral:sRNA from 1 species